GUACAAGACUUGAGAAAGGUCAACAAGAGGAUAGAAGAUAUUCAUCCGACUGUUCCAAACCCUUACAAUUUGCUCAGUAACUGUUCAUCGAUGAGAAACAGGGGUAUGCUAAAGGGGUCCUAACACAAAGGUUGGGACCCUAGAAACGCCCUGUGGCCUACCUGUCUAAGAAAUUGGACCCUGUGGCCUCUGGCUGGCCACCGUGCCUAAGGAUGGUGGCUGCUAUUGCUGUCCUGAUCAAGGACGCUGAAAAAUUGACUUUGGGACAGCCACUCACCAUCCUAGCACCCCACGCAGUGGAGGCCUUGGUAAAGCAGCCCCCAGACCGCUGGCUCUCUAAUUCUCACACCAAGCCUUGUUACUGGAUGCAGAACGGGUUCAGUUUGGGCCCGUAGUCGCCCUCAAUCCUGCCACCUUGCUUCCUCUACCAGAGGAGACAAAACAGCAUGACUGCCUACAAAUCCUCACAGAAGUACAUG
rnacentral:lncRNA from 1 species